UACAGAGGUCUCGAGCGUUGUUCGGAUUCAUUGGGCGUAAAGGGUGCGUAGGUGGCGCUGUAAGUCGGGUGUGAAAUCCUGAGGCUUAACCUCGGAACUGCAUUCGAUACUGCGGCGCUUGAGGACUGGAGAGGAGACUGGAAUUCAUGGUGUAGCAGUGAAAUGCGUAGAGAUCCGGAGGAACACCAGAGGCGAAGGCGGCCUACUAGGCCAGUACUGACGCUGAGCCGGCGAAAGCCAGGGGAGCGGA
rnacentral:rRNA from 1 species